CGCGUAGACGGUUUUGUAAGUCAGAUGUGAAAUCCCUGGGCUCAACCUGGGAACUGCAUUUGAUACUGCAUGGCUAGAGUAUCGAAGAGGGAAGUGGAAUUUCCGGUGUAGCGGUGAAAUGCGUAGAUAUCGGAAGGAACACCAGUGGCGAAAGCGACUUCCUGGUCGAAUACUGACGUUCAUGUGCGAAAGCGUGGGGAGCAAACAGGAUUAGAUACCCUGGUAGUCCACGCCAUAAACGAUGACAACUAGAUGUUGGGAGGGUCUGCCUCUCGGUGUCGCAGCUAACGCGUUAAGUUGUCCGCCUGGGGAGUACGGCCGCAAGGUUGAA
rnacentral:rRNA from 1 species